GCUGUUUACACGUGUGUCUCGGUGUUAAUAACGCUUGCUGAGAGGUUUCCUUCCGUUCAGAGGUCUCACACUCAAUUAAGUUGUAGAUGGGCACAGUUGUUAGCGCAGGUUACUAGCACAGGAGACAGGAGCUGGUACCCAGAAGGUGUUACUACACCUGAGGAGGGUGUAACAAGGAGAGCGGUGGCACUUUGGUCUAUAAAACUUACCAUCACACACCAGUUGUUCACCACCAUCACUCGGUUUGCCGUAUGCUCCUUGCCCUUAAGCCCCAAAUGACCUUGGUGGCCAAGGACCGACACUCCCAGCCUCCAGAGCCUUGCUCUCCCGAAGCACCGGGAUGCAUGUUGUUCUGCAGGUGAUACGCAUCCCGCUCCUCCUGUGGGCUCUCCCUUUAAUUAGUUCUGUCAUAUGCCUGACACGUGUGCAAGCAGUGGAGUGUAGCAGUUGGCACGUCUUCCUGAGAAGCUUGCCUUGGCUAGAAAAAACAGUUUCCAUGUGAAGGGGAGACUGACAAAACACAGGCAGAGCAACCUCCUGACUUUCGGAAGCAUAGUUUCUGUGCCUGCAAGGCUGCAAGGGUAUGUGGAGGCAGGGGUCUGCAGGCAGGGUAUUGAAUGGGGGAGGCAGGAGGAAUGUAGCGUGUGUGAAGGCACAUGAUUUAAAGCUGGUCGGAUAUUUUUAAAAUUUCAAUUAAAGUGACUCUGCAAUGAAAUUUUUCACAAAUCGUAUUGCUGUUUUCCCUCUGGGUUCCUAUGGAAACGGGCCUUUAUGUGCUCAUGCUUAGCUGUAUCUCCUUUACUUCUCCAAUAACUUUUGAAGCUGUUGGGCAGUUUCACCCAAAUCUAUCUCAAAUAUAAUUAAGUUAUUUCAUGAAAAUAGGCAGCUGGGUAGGGCUGAGAGAUCCUGUAAAUGUCCCAAAGGCUGUAACAUGAACUUGCCUCUUAUUAAACAGCGAUUCACAUGGCUGAGAGACGGUAUAAAUGUCUGGAGUUGGAAUAGGCACAUGCAGAGGGGAAGAAAGCAAUGAGAAAUUACUAAAGUCUGUAUCCUGCUAGUCAUUUCACCUGCUUUGCUGUGUGGGCCUGGCCAGUGGUGCAAAGCUCUGUAUGUGAGGGGCUUUGCAAAGGUGGGAUUAAAGAAUAAAAAAUAAAAAUUAAAAAUUAAUUAAAAAA